rnacentral:pre_miRNA from 1 species
UAAGUACUCUCUCCGUUCCGAAUUACUUGUCGCAGGUAUGAAUGUAUCUAGAUGUAUUUUAGUUCUAGAUAUAUCCAUUUUUUCGACGAGUAAUUUGGAACGAAGGGGUAGUAG